UACAGGGGGGGCAAGCGUUGUUCGGAAUUACUGGGCGUAAAGGGCUCGUAGGCGGCCGGCUAAGUCCGACGUGAAAUCCCCAAGCUUAACUUGGGAACUGUGUCGGAUACUGGCGGGCUUGAAUCCGGGAGAGGGAUGCGGAAGUCCAGGUGUAGCGGUGAAAUGCGUAGAUAUCUGGAGGAACACCGGUGGCGAAGGCGGCAUCCUGGACCGGCAUUGACGCUGAUGAGCGAAAGCUAGGGGAGCAAACGGG
rnacentral:rRNA from 1 species